AUUGAACGCUGGCGGCAGGCCUAACACAUGCAAGUCGAACGAGUGGCGGACGGGUUAGUAAUGUCUGGGAAACUGCCUGAUGGAGGGCGAUAACUACUGGAAGCGGUAGCUACAACCGCAUAGCAUCGGAUGGGCCCAGAUGGGAUUAGCUUGUUGGUGGGGUAACGGCUCACCAAGGCGACGAUCCCUAGCGGGCCUGAGAGGAUGACCAGCCACACUGGAACUGAGACACGGUCCAGACUCCUACGGGAGGCAGCAGUGGGGAAUUUUGGACAAUGGGCGAAAGCCUGAUGCAGCCAUGCCGCGUGUAUGAAGAAGGCCUUCGGAUUGUAAAGUACUUUCAGCAGGGAGGCGUUACCCGCAGAAGAAGCACCGGCUAACUCCGUGCCAGCAGCCGCGGUAAUAC
rnacentral:rRNA from 1 species